CGCGGCCUAUCAGCUUGUUGGUGAGGUAACGGCUCACCAAGGCGACGACGGGUAGCCGGCCUGAGAGGGUGACCGGCCACACUGGGACUGAGACACGGCCCAGACUCCUACGGGAGGCAGCAGUGGGGAAUAUUGCACAAUGGGCGCAAGCCUGAUGCAGCAACGCCGCGUGAGGGAUGACGGCCUUCGGGUUGUAAACCUCUUUUAGCAGGGAAGAAGCGAAAGUGACGGUACCUGCAGAAAAAGCACCGGCUAACUACGUGCCAGCAGCCGCGGUAAUACGUAGGGUGCAAGCGUUGUCCGGAAUUAUUGGGCGUAAAGAGCUCGUAGGCGGUUUGUCACGUCUGCUGUGAAAAUCCAAGGCUCAACCUUGGACUUGCAGUGGGUACGGGCAGGCUAGAGUGCGGUAGGGGAGAUGGGAAUUCCUGGUGUAGCGGUGGAAUGCGCAGAUAUCAGGAGGAACACCAAUGGCGAAGGCACAUCUCUGGGCCGUAACUGACGCUGAGGAGCGAAAGCGUGGGGAGCGAACAGGAUUAGAUACCCUGGUAGUCCACGCCGUAAACGGUGGGUGCUAGCUGUGGGCCACAUUCCACGUGGUCCGUGACGAAGUUAACACAUUAAACACCCCGCCUGGGGAGUACGG
rnacentral:rRNA from 1 species